GCACUUUUCUGUGUCUGUUGUCUCCCACCUCUCCCCAUUUAAAAAGUCCAAAGCAAGACGACUUCAGUAGGGCCAGAAACUGCUCCUUCUGAAUGGCACACUUCAUGCUCCCCAGAAUACAGCUGUAGCUUACUUAGCAGCUGAGUGUCUCUGUCAGCUCUGCAGUUCUGCAUCCACUGUUUAAAUAUGAGCCUGACCCAGCUCCCAAACACAACACCAAUAAACUUCACAGACCAAAGGAGCUGUAUCAGGCGCUUCCAUCAGCUGUCACAUUGCCAAGCAACAACAUCGCAGCACCUUGUAUAUUGCCACUUUAUUAAAGACAAGUGAAAGGCAGCUUCCUCUUGCGACUCCAGAUAAUGAUGAUCUUCAGAACCACUGUGAAUUAAAACCUACCACAGCCCUUUUUCUUCAUGGGGAUGGUAACAGAUACAAUGAGCUACCCUGGGUAAGUGAAACUCAUUCCCUAAGAGUCACCUGUGCUCACCUCUGAGGUUACAGGGCUGGGUUCAGCACGUGUGAGUUUUGGCUGUUAUAGAUACAGGUGGGUUUGUAUUUGGUUACUAUGCAUACAGGUGGGUUUGUAUUCGGUCAUUAUUGAUAGAGGUGGGUUUGUAUUUA